rnacentral:sRNA from 1 species
CAAGCCCUGCCCCAGAUCCCCCAGAGUCUAUGGUUCAGAGUCUAAGCCCCACUCCCUCACCCCAACCCCUGCACCCCAGCAUUCAGACCUUAGCCUGGCCAUGGCUGUCCAGACCCCAGUCCCAAGGGCAGCCGGAGGGUCUGGGGACAGGAGCCUGGAGGAGGCACUGGGGGCCCUAAUGGCUGCCCUGGAUGACUACCGUGGCCAGUUUCCUGAGCUGCAGGGCCUGGAGCAGGAGGUGACCCGACUAGAGAGUCUGCUCAUGCAGAGACAAGGUCUGACUCGCAGCCGGGCCUCCAGUCUCAGCAUCACUGUGGAGCAUGCCUUGGAGAGCUUCAGCUUCCUCAAUGAAGACGAAGAUGGAGACAAUGAUGUUCCUGGGGACAGGUGAGGGGGCUAGGCAAGAUGGGUGUGAGGCUUGGUGAGAGGGAAAAGGUGAGGCAGGACCAGGGGAAGGUGGAACAGGUGAAUUGGGAGAAAGUCAAAGGAGAGGACAGUGAGGCAGGGCUAGGUGGAGCAUGUGAGGACUGAGUUGCUGGCAGGUGCACCUGUGUCCACCCCUCCCAUGUCCUUCCUGCCCAUGUCUCCAACCCUACAUGUGUCCCCAGGGCUUCUGACCGCCCUCCUCAUCUCUGCAAUGUCUGCCUCCCCUGCCGGUCCCCAUCAGCUUGGGUGCCUCCAGCCCCUCCUCUUCCCCUUGGCCUCACCUUGGACCUGCCCUUUGAAGGAGCUCUCUCAGUGUCU